GCCCCAGUAGCUCAGUGGUCAGAGCGUUGGUUUUGUAAACCAAGGGUCGUCGGUUCGACUCCGGCCUGGGGCU
rnacentral:tRNA from 1 species